UACAUGGGGUGCAAACGUUGCUCGGAAUUAUUGGGCGUAAAGCGCGCGUAGGUGGUUACCUAAGUCGGAUGUGAAAGCCCUCGGCUUAACUGAGGAAGUGCACCCGAAACUGGGUAGCUAGAGUACUAAAGAGGGUCGCGGAAUUCCCGGUGUAGAGGUGAAAUUCGUAGAUAUCGGGAGGAACACCUGUGGCGAAGGCGGCCAUCUGGACGUUCACUGACGCUGAGACGCGAAAGCGUGGGUAGCAAACAGG
rnacentral:rRNA from 1 species